rnacentral:rRNA from 1 species
CGCCCAACAGCUAGCCCCCACCACCAAAAGCAACAAACCCCUAUUUAUAAACCCCAAAAACACUAACCAAUCAGAAAACAAACCAUUUUACCUCCCCAAGUAUAGGCGAUAGAAAAGGAGCGUGGCGCAAUAGAAAAAGUACCGCAAGGGAAUGCUGAAAGAGAAAUGAAAUAAUCCAGUAAAGCACUAAAAAGCAGAGACUAAAGCUCGUACCUUUUGCAUCAUGACUUAGCUAGAAAAAUUCAAGCAAAGCGUACUUUAGUUUGACUCCCCGAAACUAAGUGAGCUACUCCAAGACAGUCUAGGAAUAGGACAAACCCGUCUCUGUGGCAAAAGAGUGGGGAGAGCUUUGAGUAGAGGUGACAGACCUACCGAACUUAGUUAUAGCUGGUUGCCUGAGAACUGGAUAGAAGUUCAGCCUCUGAGAUUCUCUACUCACCCACCGUCCAUACUUUCUCCCGACAUUUUAGAGAAACCAAGAGAGUUAGUCAAAGGGGGUACAGCCCCUUUGACCCAAGAUACAACUUUUACAGCAGGGUAAAGAUCAUAAUAUUUUAUAAAGGAAAAAUGUUUUAGUGGGCCUAAAAGCAGCCACCCUUACAGAAAGCGUUAAAGCUCAAACAUUCCACCCUCCUCUAAUACUGAUAAAAAAAUCUUAACCCUCUAACCCUAUCAGGCCGCUCCAUGCAGGCAUGGAAGCGAUUAUGCUAACAUGAGUAAUAAGAGAGUAACUUAAGACUCUCUCCCCGCACACGUGUAAAUCGGAAUGGACCAUCCACCGAGCCCUAACGGCCCCAAGUAAAGAGGGAAUUGAAUAAAAAAUAAAACAACCAGAAAACCCCCCAAAAAAUAACCGUUAACCCUACACUGGUGUGCACCCCAGGAAAGACUAAAAGAAAAAGAAGGAACUCGGCAAACAUACACAAAGCCUCGCCUGUUUACCAAAAACAUCGCCUCUUGCAAAAACAAAAAAUAAGAGGUCCCGCCUGCCCUGUGACUAUAAGUUUAACGGCCGCGGUAUUUUGACCGUGCGAAGGUAGCGCAAUCACUUGUCUUUUAAAUGGAGACCUGUAUGAAUGGCACGACGAGGGCUUAACUGUCUCCUUUUUCCAGUCAAUGAAAUUGAUCUCCCCGUGCAGAAGCGGGGAUACCUACAUAAGACGAGAAGACCCUAUGGAGCUUUAGACACCAAAGUAGACCACGUUAAGCAUGCCUGGACAAAGGACUAAACCAGAUGGGACACUACUCUAAUGUCUUUGGUUGGGGCGACCGCGGGGAAAUACAAAACCCCCACGUGGAAUGGGAAUACUUUUCCUACAACCCAGAGCUCCCGCUCUAAUAAACAGAAAUUCUGACCAAUCAGAUCCGGCAACGCCGAUCAACGGACCGAGUUACCCUAGGGAUAACAGCGCAAUCCCCUUUUAGAGCCCAUAUCGACAAGGGGGUUUACGACCUCGAUGUUGGAUCAGGACAUCCUAAUGGUGCAGCCGCUAUUAAGGGUUCGUUUGUUCAACGAUUAAAGUCCUACGUGAUCUGAGUUCAGACCGGAGUAAUCCAGGUCAGUUUCUAUCUAUGACAUGAUCUUUUCUAGUACGAAAGGACCGAAAAGAAGGGGCCCAUACCCAAAGCACGCCCUCACCCCUACCUAAUGAAAUCAACUAAAAUAGGCAAAGGGGCAUACCCCCUACACCCAAGAAAAUGGUAU